GAUGAACGCUGGCGGCGUGCCUAAUACAUGCAAGUCGAGCGAACAGACGAGGAGCUUGCUCCUCUGACGUUAGCGGCGGACGGGUGAGUAACACGUGGAUAACCUACCUAUAAGACUGGGAUAACUUCGGGAAACCGGAGCUAAUACCGGAUAAUAUAUUGAUCCGCAUGGUUCAAUAGUGAAAGACGGUUUUGCUGUCACUUAUAGAUGGAUCCGCGCCGCAUUAGCUAGUUGGUAAGGUAACGGCUUACCAAGGCAACGAUGCGUAGCCGACCUGAGAGGCUGAUCGGCCACACUGGAACUGAGACACGGACCAGACUCCUACGGGAGGCAGCAGUAGGGAAUCUUCCGCGAUGGGCGAAAGCCUGACGGAGCAACGCCGCGUGAGUGAUGAAGGUCUUCGGAUCGAAAAACUCUGUUAUUAGGGAAGAACAAAUGUGUAAGUAACUAUGCACGUCUUGACGGUACCUAAUCAGAAAGCCACGGCUAACUACGUG
rnacentral:rRNA from 1 species